CCUACGGGAGGCAGCAGUAGGGAAUUUUGCGCAAUGGGCGAAAGCCUGACGCAGCAACGCCGCGUGAUCGAGACGCCCUUCGGGGUGUAAAGAUCUGUCAGUGGGGGCGAAACUUGACGGUACCCACAGAGGAAGCACCGGCUAACUCCGUGCCAGCAGCCGGGGUACUACGGGGGGUGCAAGCGUUGUCCGGAAUUAUUGGGCGUAAAGAGUUCGUAGGCGGCACGGAAAGUCUGGUGGUAAAGGCAGGGGCUCAACUUCUGUACGGCACUUGAUACUUGCGAGCUAGAAUGCGGUAGAGGUAAAGGGAAUGCGUGGUGUAGCGGUGAAAUGCUUAGAUAUCAGGAGGAACAUCGGUUGCGGAGGCACUUUACUGGGCCGUAAUUGACGCUCAGGAACGAAAGCCAGGGUAGCAAAUGGGAUUAGAUACCCCUGUAGUC
rnacentral:rRNA from 1 species